rnacentral:rRNA from 1 species
GCAAGUCGAGCGCGAAAGUCCCUUCGGGGGCGAGUAGAGCGGCGAAAGGGUGAGUAAUGCUUGGGUAACUUACCCCCUGGACCGGGAUAGCCACUGGAAACGGUGGGUAAUACCGGAUGGUCUCGCGAGCACUGCGGUGGUUGCGAGUAAAUGCGGGGGCCUUCGGGCCUCGCGCCAAGGGAGAGACCCGAGUUCUACCAGCUUGUUGGUGAGGUAAUGGCUCACCAAGGCGAAGACGGAUAGCCGGACUGAGAGGUUGGCC